rnacentral:ncRNA from 2 species
GCACGAUCUCGGGGCGAGGUGAAAUUCCUCACCGGCGGUAAGCAUUCGCGCGCAAGCGCGACGGCAGAGCCCGCGAGCGAUCAUCGCCAUCGGCGGUGUCAGCAGAUUCGGUGCAAUUCCGAAGCCGACGGUCAUAGUCCGGACGGAAGAGAUUGAGC